ACCUCGGCAGCUUAGUUGGUAAAGUAACUGGGCGUAAACCUGAGAGAACUGGGUUCGUAUCCCAGUCGAGGUU